rnacentral:piRNA from 1 species
UAGAAACUAGAAAGUCAGGUUUCCAGUCUC